rnacentral:rRNA from 1 species
GACGAACGCUGGCGGCGUGCUUAACACAUGCAAGUCGAACGGAGUGGCGAACGGGUGAGUAACACGUGGGUGAUCUGCCUUGCACUUCGGGGUAAGCUUGGGAAACUGGGUCUAAUACCGGAUAGUGCAAGAUGAGCUCGCGGCCUAUCGGCUUGUUGGUGGGGUAAUGGCCUACCAAGGCGUCGGCUGGUAGCCGGCCUGGGAGGGUGGACGGCGACAUGGGGACUGAGAUACGGACCAGACGGCUACGGGAGGCAGCAGGGGGGAAUAUUGCACAAUGAGCGGAAGCCUGAUGCGGAGGCGCCGGGUGGGGGAAGAAGGCGUUCGGGUUGUAAACUCCUUUCGACAGGGACGCGGUACCUGUAUAAGAAGCACCGGCUAACUACGUGCCAGCAGCCGCGGUAAUUC